rnacentral:rRNA from 1 species
CAAUUGCGAAGGCAGCUUUCUGGAUCAUUACUGACACUGAGGAACGAAAGCAUGGGUAGCGAAGAGGAUUAGAUACCCUCGUAGUCCAUGCCGUAAACGAUGUGUGUUAGACGUUGGAAAUUUAUUUUCAGUGUCGCAGCAAAAGCGAUAAACACACCGCCUGGGGAGUACGACCGCAAGGUUAAAACUCAAAUGAAUUGACGGGGACCCGCACAAGUAGUGGAGCAUGUGGUUUAAUUCGAAGAUACGCGCAGAACCUUACCAACACUUGACAUGUUCGUCGCGACUCUAAGAGAUUAGAGUUUUCGGUUCGGCCGGACGAAACACAGGUGCUGCAUGGCUGUCGUCAGCUCGUGUCGUGAGAUGUUGGGUUAAGUCCCGCAACGAGCGCAACCCUCACUUUUAGUUGCCAUCAUUUAGUUGGGCACUCUGAAAGAACUGCCAGUGAUAAGCUGGAGGAAGGUGGGGAUGACGUCAAGUCCUCAUGGCCCUUACGUGUUGGGCUACACACGUGCUACAAUGGUAUCUACAACAGGAAGCAAGACGGCGACGUCAAGCAAAUCCUUAAAAGAUACCUCAGUUCGGAUUGCACUCUGCAACUCGAGUGCAUGAAGCUGGAAUUACUAGUAAUCGUGGAUCAGCGUGCCACGGUGAAUGCGUUCCCGGGUCUUGUACACACCGCCCGUCACACCAUGGGAGUUGGUUCUACCUUAAGGCAAGGUUUUAAACCCUUGACCACGGUAUAGUCAGCGACUGGGGUGAAGUCGUAACAAGGUAGCCGUAGGGGAACCUGCGGCUG